UGAGCAAGCGGCCGAAGAGGGAUCUUGCUUGAGGCAGAGGCACUGAAUUGAAUUGAACGCGCGAAGCAUUUGCUAGGAGGGGCAGGGGCGGCGAGCGGGUUCGAAUACUGCGCUCUGAUUGGCCGAAAGCUUUACGCUCCACUUCCAUAGAUUGCUGUGGCUCAGCGGCAGAAUCAACUUCAUAAAAUGCAUGGAAACUGAAACCGGCGAGAUGCGAGAUGCAACAAAAUGCGUACCUGGAGAGCAGUGAAGCGUACAAGUGCACUUAAGGGUCAAGAUGCGUGCCGAGUACGAGGAAUGGUACAUGUUGGCAGAUGAACCAGAGGAGGGCAAGGAUAAAAAUCCUCGGACAAAAUUGGCGAGCCAGCCAGAUGGGCAAUAUCAGGAACCGGACGCCUGUGGGGCCCUGACUUUGGGGAGAACCUGGACUGAUCCAACAUUAACCAACCCAUAGAUGAUGAUGAAGCGCGAUCCAACAAAGACCUCAACGGCGCAACUGGUGAAAGAUGUCUCCGGGUCACAACGGCAGUGAAGGCGGAUGAAGGCGGCAACAGAGGGUGGUGGACUCUGGUCACCCCCCGCCAAGGACCGUGUGGUGGCUGCAGGCACAUCAGCCACUCCAUGUAAAAAGCUGUCAAACGCAGGUAUCCUCCUAUUACGCGGCUCCAGGAUCAGCCUCUACACCCACCUGAGGACCCAGAGGGAGGGCGGUCUUACUCAACCCUGAGUGACCC